rnacentral:tRNA from 3 species
GCUCAGUUGGUUAGAGCACAUCACUCAUAAUGAUGGGGUCACAGGUUCGAAUCCCGUCGUAGCCACCA